UUUCCGUAGGUGAACCUGCGGAAGGAUCAUUCAUAAUAAAGUGUUUUAUGGCACUUUUUAAAAAUCCAUAUCCACCUUGUGUGCAAUGUUAGAUCUCGUCAAUCUUGGCGAGAUUUUUAUACAUCAACUCCUUCUUUAACUAAUUUGUCUGAAAAAUAUUAUGAAUACUUAAUUCAAAAUACAACUUUCAACAACGGAUCUCUUGGCUCUC
rnacentral:misc_RNA from 1 species